CCUACGGGAGACAGCAGUGGGGGAUAUUGCACAAUGGGGGAAACCCUGAUGCAGCGACGCCGCGUGAGUGAAGAAGUAUUUCGGUAUGUAAAGUUCUUUCAGCAGGGAAGAAAAUGACAGUACCUGACCAAGAAGCCCCGGCUAACUACGUGCCAGCAGCCGCGGUAAUACGUAGGGGGCAAGCGUUAUCCGGAUUUACUGGGUGUAAAGGGAGCGUAGACGGGUAUGUAAGUCAGGAGUGAAAGCCCGGGGCCCAACCCCGGGACUGCUUUGGAAACUGUGUAACUGGAGUACAGGAGGGGCAGGCGGAAUUCCUGGUGUAGCGGUGAAAUGCGUAGAUAUCAGGAGGAACACCGGCGGCGAAGGCGGGUUCCUGGACAUUAACUGACGCUGAGGCGCGAAGGCGAGGGGAGCAAAAGGGAUUAGAUACCCCAGUAGUC
rnacentral:rRNA from 1 species